CUCUAUGCUAGAAUAUUAUACUGUCACUCACGCUGAUACAAAAGAUAUUUUUAUGUGAUUUUUUGCCUAUUUUAUUUCAAAAUCGCGAAUUGGCAUCAGGAAGCUAAUAUUUAUCGUUUAAAAGCAAUUACAGACUUGUUUAAGUAGUGGGUGGCCCUUUAAUAUUACUUAUCAAAUAAUAGAUUUGAGACACUUUGAAUGAGGCUCAGGUCUUGCAGUCAAAAUAAUACACUCUGAAACAAACUCUGAAAAAAUUAUAGGAUCUUGAUAACCUUACAAGUGCAAAGCUACCUACCUCCCUCUGUUGACACAAUGGUCUCAACAUGUGUUCUGCGGACCUCUGCUGCAGAUGUCUGAUCGGGUUCUCGUGUUGCGCCUGGUGUAUCGCAUACUGCGCACUGUGUGGCACUUGCAUUAUGACGGCGAAGAAUAACGAUCCACUGUCGUGAUUGGUUUAUGACGUGUUUGGUUGGUGACGUGUUGUUUGGUUAAUGACGUGUUGUUUGGUUAAUGACGUGUUAUUUGGUUAAUGACUUGUUAUAUAACGAAAAGGUAUUAUUUUUGUGAAUUGUUAAGUUUGUGUUGUUAUAUUGCUGAACGAGUAAUUUACAGAGUGUUAUUUAUGUGAAGGUGUCAAAAUGUGUUGUGGAUUUUUAGAGUGCUGUUCCAUGUUUUGUGGUUUUAUUUUGGGGGUUUACAGUUUUUGCUGUAACAUAGAGAAGGAUGACCUCCACAUAACGAUUCCGCAAGCCAAUUAGGGUCGCCGCAUACUUUUUAGUAACGGCCUUAGUUUAUACGACCGUUACUAAAAAGUGUGCGGCUAUCUAGUUUAGUUUAUAAUGCGGUAUCAAAGAGAGUAAAAUUUCAGUUGAAUCUGUUAAAAAUAUACUUAUUUAUUUAUUUCAAAGUAAUUUUCGUGAUCUAGCAAAUGUCUGUAGCUAUGAAAGUCCAUGUUAUGUUUCGCAACUGGUUUUGUAAGUCCUAUAUGUUUUCAAAGAUCAGGUUAUUUACUUUGUAUUAAAAUAAAAAGUGAAGUAAAAGUUA